CCUUAUGGACCAGGAUUAGGGAGCGUGGACUGCUGCACUGGGCACGAACAGGUGUAACCAGAGAAAUUAGACACGCGGCCAGCUUCCCGGGCCUGGCCUCGUUGGAGACAUCCCCCACUCUCCCUCCUUUUCCCACCCCCAUCCACCCAUUUCUGGACCCUAGGGAGCCAUAGCCCACCACCCGGGGUGCCUGCGCAAGGAAGUCGGCGAAGAGCGAAACCCCUCGGUGCUGUAAGUUUGCGACCAGCAGAGGGCAGCACAAGGCCGCUUCCCUGGAGGUGGCCGGCAGGACAGCUGCAGCACUACUGGAGGCGGGCGGGCACCGACUGGCGGCGGCCAGGGUAGGAGAGCCCUGUCAGUGUGAAAUUAGCCUGAAGACUGGGGCGUGGUAUUAGUGCGUACGCCAGGGGCACGUCCCGGUCCCUGACACCCAACUGCCUCCUCAAGUGGGUCCCUGACCCCCGUGUAGCCUAACUGGGAGACACCUCGCAGUAGGGACCAACAC
rnacentral:lncRNA from 10 species